AACGCACAUUGCGCCCCUUGGUAUUCCGGGGGGCAUGCCUGUUCGAGCGUCAUUUCAACCCUCAAGCGCAGCUUGGUAUUGAGCCCUUGUCAGUGAUGGCAGGCUCUAAAAUCAGUGGCGGCGCCGUUGGGUCCUGAACGUAGUAAUAUCUCUCGUUACAGGCCCCCAGCGUGCUUCUGCCAACACCUAAAUUUCUAGUGUUGACCUCGGAUCAGGUAGGGAUACCCGCUGAACUUAA
rnacentral:misc_RNA from 1 species